CCUACGGGAGGCAGCAGUGGGGAAUUUUGGACAAUGGGCGCAAGCCUGAUCUAGCCAUGCCGCGUGCAGGAUGAAGGCCUUCGGGUUGUAAACUGCUUUUGUACGGAACGAAAAGCCUCUUUCUAAUAAAGGGAGGUCAUGACGGUACCGUAAGAAUAAGCACCGGCUAACUACGUG
rnacentral:rRNA from 1 species